GACGAACGCUGGCGGCAUGCCUAACACAUGCAAGUCGAACGCGUGUAGCAAUACACGAGUGGCGGACGGGUGAGUAAUGCUUAGGAAUCUGCCUAUUAGUGGGGGACAACAUCUCGAAAGGGAUGCUAAUACCGCAUACGUCCUACGGGAGAAAGCAAGGGAUCUUCGGACCUUGCGCUAAUAGAUGAGCCUAAGUCGGAUUAGCUAGUUGGUGGGGUAAAGGCCUACCAAGGCGACGAUCUGUAGCGGGUCUGAGAGGAUGAUCCGCCACACUGGGACUGAGACACGGCCCAGACUCCUACGGGAGGCAGCAGUGGGGAAUAUUGGACAAUGGGCGCAAGCCUGAUCCAGCCAUGCCGCGUGUGUGAAGAAGGCCUUAUGGUUGUAAAGCACUUUAAGCGAGGAGGAGGCUACUUUAGUUAAUACCUAGGGAUAGUGGACGUUACUCGCAGAAUAAGCACCGGCUAACUCUGUGCCAGCAGCCGCAGUAAUAC
rnacentral:rRNA from 1 species